UGAACGCUGGCGGUAGGCCUAACACAUGCAAGUCGACCGGCAGCACAGUAAGAGCUUGCUCUUACGGGUGGCGAGUGGCGGACGGGUGAGGAAUACAUCGGAAUCUACCUUUUCGUGGGAGAUAACGUAGGGAAACUUACGCUAAUACCGCAUACGACCUACGGGUGAAAGCAGGGGAUCUUCGGACCUUGCGCGAUUGAAUGAGCCGAUGUCGGAUUAGCUAGUUGGCGGGGUAAAGGCCCACCAAGGCGACGAUCCGUAGCUGGUCUGAGAGGAUGAUCAGCCACACUGGAACUGAGACACGGUCCAGACUCCUACGGGAGGCAGCAGUGGGGAAUAUUGGACAAUGGGCGCAAGCCUGAUCCAGCCAUACCGCGUGGGUGAAGAAGGCCUUCGGGUUGUAAAGCCCUUUUGUUGGGAAAGAAAAGCAGCAGGUUAAUACCCCGCUGUUCUGACGGUACCCAAAGAAUAAGCACCGGCUAACUUCGUG
rnacentral:rRNA from 1 species